CGCUGGCGGCAGGCCUAACACAUGCAAGUCGAGCGGAUGAAGGGAGCUUGCUCCCUGAUUCAGCGGCGGACGGGUGAGUAAUGCCUAGGAAUCUGCCUGGUAGUGGGGGACAACGUCUCGAAAGGGACGCUAAUACCGCAUACGUCCUACGGGAGAAAGCAGGGGACCUUCGGGCCUUGCGCUAUCAGAUGAGCCUAGGUCGGAUUAGCUAGUUGGUGAGGUAAUGGCUCACCAAGGCGACGAUCCGUAACUGGUCUGAGAGGAUGAUCAGUCACACUGGAACUGAGACACGGUCCAGACUCCUACGGGAGGCAGCAGUGGGGAAUAUUGGACAAUGGGCGAAAGCCUGAUCCAGCCAUGCCGCGUGUGUGAAGAAGGUCUUCGGAUUGUAAAGCACUUUAAGUUGGGAGGAAGGGCAUUAACCUAAUACGUUGGUGUUUUGACGUUACCGACAGAAUAAGCACCGGCUAACUCUGUGCCAGCAGCCCGCGGUAAUACAGAGGGUGCAAGCGUUAAUCGGAUUACUGGGCGUAAAGCGCGCGUAGGUGGUUUGUAAGUUGGAUGUGAAAUCCCGGCUCAACCUGGGACU
rnacentral:rRNA from 1 species